ensembl:lncRNA
AACAUCACCCAGCAGCUAUUCAAAUGCGACUGCAUUCCGAAAAGCGCAGAGAGCGCAUAGAGUGCAGGAUGAGCACGCGAAUCUGAGGCAGGCAAACGCUUUGAUUGCGGGACGGAUAAUUUGUUGUGGAAGAAAACGAAGACGCAGAGCUGCGGGAUCUGUACUUUGAUCAUGGAUUCGGAUCUGUCCAAAAGCCGGAGAGCCGACCAGGUAGACCGCGUGAUGGUGAUGGGACACGAGAGAGACAGACAUGAACAGAGAAUAUCGUAUUCUCUUUUUUUUGUACCGAUGAAAAGCCGACUGGUGGAUCUGCAGUUUGUUUAGAGUCAUUUGAUGUCUGUCCUGAAGCCUCCGUGCGGGGGAACCGCCGCAGAAGCACCAGGGAAUAGGAUUCUGCGGUAAAGUCGGAGAUAGGGCGUGGGUGCGCGCGUGCAGCUCUAGCGUGUGUGUGUCGGUGUGUGUGCAUGCGCGUGUGUGCGUGCGUGUGUGCGUGUUUGUGUGUGCGUGUGUGUUAUAGUGAGCUAGUGAGAAAGUGCCCGAAUCACGCGAGGGGAGGAGGCUGAUUAGCUGAGCUGAUCACACGUACUUAUCCACACGCUGCACGCAAAGUCACGCUUUUAAAUACAUAUAAUCAAGAUGCCCCGCUGCGUAUCUCCCGUAGAUUUUUAUUUCCAAUGAGGAACAGAAAAGCCUCCAAAGCCUCGUUGAAAUGCAGUUUUAAGUGCGAUAAUUAAGCUGAGCUAAACAUUAGGGAAAGUUCUGAAAAUGUUCGUUGAUUAUAUCUUUGAAGGCCUAUAUAUAUGCUCAUGUGUGAUUUAUAUUAUUGCAUACUAUUGUAAAAUGCAGAAAAAUAUAAUUUGUGUAUAGUCUGUGUGGCAUGUAUUUGGUAUUAUAUUUUUCUAUUUGUAUGUUUAAAAGCUUUUAUUUUUAUGACAUAUUUCACAGUCGAAAGAAAUCAAACGAGAAGGACCAAGUAUGUAUAAAGUAAAUCCAUUCUCGAUAUAUUUGAUUAAGGACAUCACUUGCAGGGAUUUUAAUUGUUGAUUCAUGUUUAUUGCGGAGGCGAAAUGAUGUAGCCUUUGGCGGUAUAGGUCUGCAUAAAAAAGCCAUUUGAACACGUCACUUGAAUAUAGUUGAACUUGAGCUGAUAUAUUUACACAGGCCUGACUCUAUAGUCUAAUGCAUGCAUCACAGAGCUUCUGGUUCGCGGUCGACGUGUUGACAUCAUUGGCGCCUUGCCAAUGGUACAGGUUGUAAUUGGGUGGCAUAUGGGCAACUUAAUGUAAAGUGAUGCUUUGUUAAUUGCACAUGAGUGCACGAAUCAAAGCGAGUGACGCGGAAGAGGUGAAGUGAGGAGGCAGUUGAUUUCCUCCGAGCAGCUGCCCGUGGGCAUGAUGGCAUCUUAAAAAUCAAAAAAAAUUCCAAGAAAUCAAUUGCAGGGAUCUUUAUGAAUCCUGUUGUGUGUGCUACACUAAUAUAGACGACCAGUUUAUUUUGGAUUGCGGAUCCGAGGUGGACCCGCGUCUCUCAUUUGUGAAAUAAACCGUUGAUGACUUUGAAUGUGUUUUGCUUAGUUUGAUUGUUUAUAGCUGAGGAGGAAAAUGUUGCUCUCUGAGUUGUAUGAUCUAUUUCAAACGCUCAUCGUCCAAAAUAUCCUAUGUCUGUGAAUCAGGUUAGGGAAAUGCAUUCGUCUAUUAUUUGCGUAACCUGAUUUCAAUUACAAUAAUUUAAGUUGCAUGCACCCUCUAUAAUUACCCUGUUCUUUAUGACCAAAUGUUUAUUUUGAAAACAAUGCUAGACUUACUUUACUAGCAUGACUUAAAUUUGGCACAAUGUGAAUCGAGAAGUUAAACCUAUUCAACGUCCUCGUUUGUCCCUGUGAAGAUUGUCAACAGUUGAUUAUUUAUUCUAUUUAUUUCUUCCCCAAAAUGACCAGUGGAAUGGGUUAUAAAUAAUGUUACGCUGCAUUAUCAUUACCUGCUCAACAUGUUAAGGGUUUAUUUAACGAAUAAAUGAUUUUAGGCCUAAUUGCAUUUGGUAUUGAUCGGUGGUGUCGUGCUCGCGGCCUUCCGCCCUAGAGCGGACCAACCACCUUUUACAUAUCAUCAUGUAGGCCUAAUAUUUUUCUCUUUAUUCAUUUGUUCUAUCUGAGAAAUUAAAUAUCCCUGAAAUUUUCCGUUCUCUGCCUAUUAAAUCAUACAGCCUCCAAACCUAUCCCUGGCGGAAUCACGCUUUUCUUUUCUAUUUUUAUAAGAUAUCAAAGCCUGAUAAAACCUGAAAAUAAUGAGAUUGGGAUACAUUGGAACCUGAAUUCAGGGCAAUUUUGAAUUGAGUAAAUAUGACAAGCACAUGCCGAUGUCAUUACCUGGUAUCUUUCAGCAGCAUAUCAAUUGUACACAGAAGCCUGCAACAUCAUGUGACUCUGCAGAGCUGCCGAAAUAUCGAUCCACGGUCGCUCUGCACGGAAUUACCAUUGUUCCCAUCUAAAUGGGAUAUGACGCCUAAGAAGAUUAUUCCACUGAAUGUGGCCCGUAGCCUGUAAUAUUCUGCUUGGAAAUAAAUUACUCAUCGGCCGACAACCUUGCACUUACUUUGCCUAGUAUUUAUUCUCGCAAAAUUAUUUUGUUAAUUUGAGUCCUGCCUCGUCUGAUGUUUAAUUCGUUGUUGUGGUUGAUGCUGUUUUUGUUGUAAUUGUUUUUGCUUUUUAUUUUGCUGUUGUUGUUGUUGUUGUUGUUGUUGUUGUUUUUAUUCCGACAGGAUCAGUUGUAAAAAUAGGCAAAGUAGCCUACCUCAGCUGCAUGAAUGACCCUAUUGUGUGAAAACCAUUAGGCCUAUAGGAAUAUUCUGUUGCAGUUUCUCCUUGAAAUGUUCCGCUACUUCACAAGUGCUAAAAAGUAUGGUGGUUUAUUGUAUAUGAUCCAGAAAGAAAAUGAUGGGGCUUUAUUCACCACGCUGAUAAGGAACGAGGGACAGAGCACGCACAUUUCAAGUGGGACCCGGACGAGGCACGAGCUUAUUGAUCGGCAUGAGAAUGUGUAGAUGAGGAGAGACACCACGUGAGGCCUUCAU